CCGCAGUACUGGGGGAUGUGUUGGUUCCUUGUAAUGCUCACAUAAUUCUUCCCUUUAAUGUUUCUCCAGUCCCAAGAAAGAGGAAGGUCAGACACAUUGAGACGCUCAUGUGGCCGGACCCCAGUCCUAAAACGUGCAGGUAUGAACGUAACCCAAAUUGGAGCAAUGGGGUCACAAGACGACGCUGUGCUUCACCUUUAGAAGACACUGUGAAGCCCACUCAAGCAAAGGCACCUUUGGAGUGUAUGGAAAGUGAAUCCAUACCAACAGCAUAGAAACUACAGAGAAACCAUCAGAAACUCAGAAUGUAAUAAACACAGACUCUGCUCAGG